AAAUAAACCUGAUGGAAACGGAAAUACUUUUUGUUGUCAUUCUGAGCGUAGUCGAAGAACAACAAAAAGAUUGAAGUGUACAGCAGGACUGAAA
rnacentral:sRNA from 1 species